AUUGAACGCUGGCGGCAGGCCUAACACAUGCAAGUCGAGCGAGCGGCGGACGGGUGAGUAAUGUAUGGGGACUGCCCGAUAGAGGGGGAUAACUACUGGAAACGGUGGCUAAUACCGCAUACUAUCGGAUAACCCAUAUGGGAUUGGCUAGUAGGUGGGGUAAAGGCUCACCUAGGCGACGAUCCCUAGCUGGUCUGAGAGGAUGAACAGCACAACGGGGACGGAGAAACGGCCCGGACUCCUACGGAGGCAGCAGUGGGGAAUAUUGGACAAUGGGCGCAAGCCGGAUGUAGCACUGCCGCGUGUAUGAAGAAGGCCUUAGGGUUGUAAAGUACUUUCAGCGGGGAGGCGUUACCCGAAGAAGAAGCCCCGGCUAACUCCGUGCCAGCAGCCGCGGUAAUUC
rnacentral:rRNA from 1 species